CAAGAUGUUACACUUUAUUUCCUAUAAUUUUAUUUACAAUAUUUUACACCCGUUAAGCAAAAAUCCCCCUACAUUGCUAUUCUGUUUUUUUUUAAUCAGUUCACUACUGUAGUAUCUUUUUGUUCUCCAUAUAUUUUUGAAAAAUACGCAAAAGAGUUCUGCAGAACUUAUCAGGUUGGACUCUGUGAAGCCUGCAGGCCAGAAUUGCUAAGGUGACAAAAAAGCAAAAAAAAAGUCAACUUCUCCUCUCUCUAGGAAGUCUGUCCCAGGAAGUUUUCAAACCUCUCUUGGCCAGAGAACAUCAGUGGGAGUGAUUGGAGGCCCUGGAUGGGAAGUCCCGCCAAGCUGGAACAGCUGAGCCAUCCAAACAGCAAGGAUGACAACCUUCCCUUUCUCCUAAGAACUCUGCCCCAUUCAAGCUUGGCCCAACACUGUUGCCAGGGGCUGGCUGGAAUUCCAAGCUGAUUUCAAACAUUUAGGUUCAAGGGAUGCAGAUGCAGGUUUGUUACAUGGAUAAACUGCAAGUUGUGUAGAUUUGGUGCACAGAUUAUCUUGUUACCCAAAUAAUGAGCACAGUAUGCUGUAAGCAGUUUUCUUUGCUCAGCCUCUUCUGGCCCUCCACCCUGAAGUAGAUCCUGUGUCCAUUAUUGUCUUAUUUCCAUGUGUACUCAGUUUUAAGCUUAUACAUGUAAGUGAGAACAUGCUAUUUGGUUCUCUCUUCCUGUGUUAAUUUGCUUAGGAUAAUGCC
rnacentral:lncRNA from 1 species